CUGCUGCGGCGGCAGGGGCGGCUGCAGGGGCGGCGGCGACGACGGCGGCGGCUCCUUGGCGUCGGCCGGCUCCUCGUCCUCCGGGUACUUGCGCUUGGGCGCGGGGGCGAAGGGCUCUCCGGCCGCGCCCGCCUUGGCGUUGUCCCGCGAAGUCAUCGACUUGAGCUUCUGCCGCAGGAGAACCACAGUCCGGUGGGAUACCCACAGUUAGAAGAUAAGUAGAAGAGGAGCCAGUGAAUGAGAUGGAGAAGAAGACCAAAAAGACCAAAACGGAGGGCAGAAAGAAAUGGGAUACACGUCUCAUAAUGAUCUCAACUGUGAUGAAGAGACUGAGGAUCUUGAACAUUAAGGAUUCAGAGCCAAGUAAAAAAGCCACCAAGUGAAAAGCAGGAUGGCCCAGUGGAUGAAGAAUGGGCCUAUGAGCCAGAGGACCUGGGUUCUAAUCCCAGCCUUGCUAC